GGAUCUGCUCCGGAUGUGAUUUCUCAGCUGUUCUAUUAGUUCAGGAUUCUGUUGCUGUAUCUGCUGAGCAAACUGCUGUCCCCUGAAUAAGCCAUCUGUACAAUUCAUUUCAACUGAAGUGGAUGCAAGACAUUUUUUUAAGGAAACAAGGGUGAAUCAGAAGUGGGGCUGCCUUCCAAGGGCACAGCAUCUGGUAUAAUAGAUCUCAGCCAGAGGUAUACAGUCACUCAAGGAGCUUCACCUGCCCAGGGUUACCACCAGACUGGUACAUCAGAGAAGGACAACUGACAACAUAUUUGGACCCAAUAAGUUUGGAUUCUCUUUAUAUUCUGAUCAAGAGCUGCCCCACUCCAUCCCAGUGCAACACCCUCCUCAGUUUGGACUUGGUCUUCCACUCCUUCCUUGUCAAAAUAUCCAUCUGCUAAGUAACCAAACCCUCAGAACUCUGCUGUGUGUGGACCAAUUCUCCUCAGAAAAAGGACUGAAUAAGCAACUAAGUUGCCACCUACAAAAAGUCAAAUUGUAGGGCUGGCCAAGUGGCGCGAUGGUUAAGAACUGGCUUGGGACGCCAGAGGACCCAGUUCGGAUCCCACA